CCGAAAUUCUUACCGGGGGCCGGUAGUCUUAACUUGGGAGCCGGAAAGGUUGCUUCGGUAACUGUAGCUAGCGGCGGACGGGUGAGUAAUGCUUAGGAAUCUGCCUAUUAGUGGGGGACAACAUUCCGAAAGGGAUGCUAAUACCGCAUACGUCCUACGGGAGAAAGCAGGGGCUCUUUAUGACCUUGCGCUAAUAGAUGAGCCUAAGUCGGAUUAGCUAGUUGGUGGGGUAAAGGCCUACCAAGGCGACGAUCUGUAGCGGGUCUGAGAGGAUGAUCCGCCACACUGGGACUGAGACACGGCCCAAACUCCUACGGGAGGCAGCAGUGGGGAAUAUUGGACAAUGGGGGGAACCCUGAUCCAGCCAUGCCGCGUGUGUGAAGAAGGCCUUUUGGUUGUAAAGAGGUUUAAGUGGGGAGGAGGCUUACCUGGUUAAUACCUGGGCUAAGUGGACGUUACCCACAGAAUAAGCACCGGCUAACUCUGUGCCAGCAGCCGCGGUAAUACAGAGGGUGCGAGCGUUAAUCGGAUUUACUGGGCGUAAAGCGCGCGUAGGUGGUUAAUUAAGUCAAAUGUGAAAUCCCCAAGCUUACUUGGGAAUGCAUUCGAUACUGGUAGCUAGAGUAUGGGAGAGGAGGGUAAAUUCAGGUGAGCGGUGAAGGGAAAAAUCGGA
rnacentral:rRNA from 1 species